AUGAACGCUGGCGGCAUGCUUUACACAUGCAAGUCGGACGGGAAGUGGUGUUUCCAGUGGCGGACGGCCACACUGGGACUGAGACAAGGCCCAGACUCCUACGGGAGGCAGCAGUGGGGAAUAUUCCGCAAUGGGCGAAAGCCUGACGGAGCAAUGCCGCGUGGAGGGCUCAACCCUGGACAGGCGGUGAAAACUACCAAGCUAGAGUACGGUAGGGGCAGAGGGAAUUUCCGGUGGAGCGAUGAAAUGCGUAGAGAUCGGAAGGAACACCAACGGCGAAAGCACUCUGCUGGGCCGACACUGACACUGAGAGACGAAAGCUAG